GACAGUUUGGCCGAGUGGUCUAAGGUUCCAGAUUUAGGCUCUGGUCGAGGGCGUGGGUUCAAAUUCGACAGCUGUCA
rnacentral:tRNA from 1 species